rnacentral:rRNA from 1 species
UACAGAGGUCCCAAGCGUUGUUCGGAUUCACUGGGCGUAAAGGGUGCGUAGGUGGUCGGGUAAGUCCGAUGUGAAAUCUCCAGGCUCAACCUGGAAAUGGCAUUGGAUACUAUCCGGCUUGAGGAGUGGAGGGGGGACUGGAAUUCUCGGUGUAGCAGUGAAAUGCGUAGAUAUCGAGAGGAACACCAAUGGCGAAGGCGAGUCCCUGGACAGUUCCUGACACUGAGGCGCGAAAGCUAGGGGAGCAAACAGG